UUUGAUUAGGUUUCUCCGCCCGGAAGUUUUGACAGCAUGCUAUACAUGUAUAAAAAGUAUACAUGUAUCAAAAGUUGAUCUUUGAUUAGGUAUUUGAGGUCGGUAGAGGGGAUGGAGGUGAUCGGACGCAAGGGGCGAUUUUCAUUCAAAGUUUCUCAUGUAAGAGGCAACGCAUCAGCAGGUUCUUGAAAUUCCAACAAGGCUGCAUAGUCGAUUCCCCUAUGAUAUAUAUUUACUUUUAAUGAUACUGCAUAUUCCCUAAAGUUUAGAAAUGAAUAAAAUGUUAGCCAAUGGGAGAUCCAAACAAAGGUCAUCGUGGUCUUGUUGUUUUAUUGCUUUUGGCCUCUCUUCAUGUUUGUUGUUUCAGAAAUGGCUGCCAUGAGGACUUAACAAUUGAAGCAAUUGUAAUGAAGAUGUCUUUGUAUAUGUAUAUUGUUUUAUUCGACAAAGAACAAACUAGAGUGAGUUGUUGGGAGACUUUCAAUUUCUCUAAAAUUGUGCAUUAAUGUCUGAAUUUGAGAAGCUCAAACGAGAAAUAUACCCAUAAUUUGUUUGUUGCAUUUAUCCAAGUGAAACAAUAACAGGCUAAGGGAUGCUUACCACUUGCCGAGCAUCUAGAUUUCUAAUUCUCUAUAGAAGUGGGAGUAUGUUCCCAUUUUUCACACACUAAAAUUUUGGAGCAUUUGGAGUUGAAAGCUUCAAGUGGAAGAGUGAAGUCUUAGAGGGAAGAUUCUUUUAGGAGAUAGAGAGAGGUUGGUUUCUCUCUUCUUUUCUUCAAAUGUUAUUCAUGUGAUCUUUUAGGAUUUCAAACAUGUUACUAAGAAUUUUUGUUGUAUAUAUACACAGUACACUCAUGAAUUUAUUUAUUUAUGUAUUUACUAUCUUGUUCUUGCGUAUUUAUUUAAAUAUUUGUUGUUGGAAAAAUUCUUAUAUUUUGAUUAGAUAUCAAAACUCCCUAAUGAUGAUGGCUUAUUGAUGUAUCUUAUAGAUAGGUUUUUAUGUACUGGUUUCAACUAAAGAAUCAGUAGUUCGAAUCGAAUCUACUGAUGGUGCAUGAAAAUGAAGUUCAUUAACUGAUAAAAGCGUUUUUCAGUACAUUUCAUGGCUAUGAAGCAAGAGGGAAUCAUAUGAUGCAAGAAAAAACUUUAUUAGAAUUACAAACUUCAUAUGAAGUUCCACAACAAUUUCCAAACUUACACAACCAAGCCAAAAAAAAAAAAUGUGAAGUGAUUGGCAAACCCAAGCCGAGAAGGUGAAAAAAAUUAUAAACAACUUGAAGCUAUAGUUUAAAUUUAAAAAACUUCAAACUAUAGUUUAAGCGAAAGCAGAGUUUAUUUACUUUCUGGAUUUAUGACUUUUUUGGGAGAUGGUGAUUUGCCAGUAAUGGCUUUCUUCACCUUGGCAAUUGAAUGCUUGACUUUUGAUCCAACGCCUGAAAGUAUGUUGUGAGAUUUCUUAUGAGCUACUUUGAUGUCUGCAUCUCCAAUAUCCACCAUGACUGGUGCUUCAGAAGAUAAGUCUGAUUUUGUGUGUUCAUGUGAUUCCUCUUCAUCCUCGUCAUUGUUCUCUUGAGUUGCCUUUUUUUCAUCAUCUGCCAAUGAAGAUUCAGGCUUCCCUUCGAUUUUCUUAUUUCCGCAUUCCUCUUCUUCUUCCUCAACUUUAGAAGCUUUCACUACUUGAUUGUCGCCAUCUAGGUUCUCAGGAAUCAAAUUCCUGGUAUCAUGCAGGACAUGCUUAUCUUUCAAGGAAGGCGCUGCCUCAUUUUCUGAUGUUUUGACUUUUUUGUCAUCUUGAGCUGUAUCCUCAACACAACUUUGAUGAAUGCUUGAUUCUGUAGCUGCACCAUCGACACUUUCUAACUGACUGGGGAUAUGUUUGUCUUCUUCAUGGAUGUCCCCACUAUCCCUUCCCACUUUCUGUUCUUCUGUUUCUUGCUCUGAGACUGAGACAGCUUCAUUUUGAAUUGCUUUUGUUUCCUGUCCUUGGAUGGUCUCCAUUCUUUCUUCUGGAUUAUGCUGUUCGCUUUGAAUAUUCACCUCAUCAUCUUUUUCUGCCAUUUUCACUUCAGUAUCUGAUUCUUCUGGCAAGUCAUCAAGUUUGGUUUGUUGGUUUUUGGGCUCCAGUGGUGUACUUUCUCCUGAAGUUUCCACUGGUGUGGAGGUGUCUGCCAUCUCUGUGCAUUUAUCAUUCAAUUCUUCAACCUCUUUACUUUCUAAUCCAGUUGCUUCUGGAACUGGAACAGCAGCCCCCAAAUCAAUCCCAGCUUCUGCUUCAGCAUCCUCUGAGGGUUGUUCUUUUAGUGAAAUGUCUUCACAUUCUGUGAUUUUUUCUUCAGAAAACUUUUUUGUAGUGGAUUUUUCACUGUCUUCCUGCCCAACAUCACUAAUUGCACAUUCUGAUAUAUCUUUGGUUUGAGAUGAUAAAUCAAACUUCUGAGCCUCAACAUAGGCUUCUUCAUCUUCCUCCACACUUUUACUUUCUGAAAGUAUCAGAUUUUCCUGCAGAGUAGAUGUCUAAUUAGAAAAUGGUUAACAUCAAUUCCUUAAUGAUGAAUAUGGGUGUAUGCAGUAUGCUAUAUUCCUUUUACCUCAUCUUUUGCCUGCACUUCAUCUGACCUGCAGAUUUCAUCUUCCUUGUUCUGUUCCUCACUUUCCCUCCCAGGGAUUACUGCUAUUUGAACAGCCUACACAUAUUAUAGGCUAUUAACAUAGUACUCAAAGUAUAUUUGGUGAACCUGUAAUUUCCUAUGUAUUACGAGUGCCAUGCUUCAGAAUGGAAAUCAAUGUUGAGAAAGUGAACUUAAAUGAACAUACCUCUUUGUUUGAAUCUUGAGUGUCUGUUUUCACACAUGAAAUGUCCAACUCACGAGCAUUUUCAUUGUCUAUUUUAGUUGUAGGCUCCUUAAUGCUCGUUACCUGCUCUUCUUGGUGGAGGAUGUUGUCAUUUGCUUCAUUCGUAACUAUCUUUUCUUCUAGGUCUUCUGGAGCCUUGUCAUCGGCUUCUUCAGAAACUUCUGGUACCUGCUCAAUGAAUGGCAUUUCAACGUCAUAAGAUGCUGAGCUUUAUCAAGAAAACAGAGUAUGUAUGUUCUUACAGUUUCGGUAUCAUUUUCAUUGUUUGUGAACUCGUAUGUUUCUUUGCUGUUUAACUGUUGAUCUUGCAUAACCUCAUCUUCUUGGUGACUAUCUGUGAUUACCUCUUCCUCACAAGAACCUUGAUGAUAAUCUUUUAUAUCUUCGUGUUCCUCCUUGAUCUGCAUAUUGUAUCAUUUUGUUAGGGCUUAAUGUUCAUCUAACGGAAGGAACAAAGGUACUUGUAAAAGAUGCAGGAGAUUAGAAGAGUUUACUCUUGGUAAUUGUUCCUUCUCGCUUGAAAUGUCGCUCUUCAUGAUUUCUUUCUCAAUCGUAGUUUCUUCUUGUACUAUUUCCUCUGUUACAUCUUUGUCAGAUUGUAUUCCUGCUUUUGCUCUAAGAUCUUCUUCCUCUGUUUUAGUCUCUUCUGUUUCUGAAAUUAUGUCAAAACUUUGACCUUGGGCAAUAGAUUCGAGGCUCCUGGUAUUGGACUCACAUUCUCCAGGCGUAAAUGCAACUUCAUUUGAGUCCGACUUUUCCUGAGUCAAGCUACCAACGUAGUUGGAGUUUUCCUCGACACUUUUAUCUCAGCAUCUUGACCUUCUGUAGAUGAGGGAGUUGUCUCUUUGAUUGCAGGAGCUUCUUCUUCAUUUUUGGUUUCAAGGUCUGUAACAGAGUAGGAUGCCAAGUCUUCCUCUAAUGCCACAUUGGAUGUUGAGACUUCCUCUGAUGCCACAGAGAUGGGGCUGCUUGCAAUCUCUUUAGAGUUAUUUGAAUCUAUUUCUUCUUCACCAUUAACCUCCUUCGAUUCCGAGACAUCCUCAGAAGCAGCAAAGUUAGGCAGUGCCUCUUGUUUAAAUAGCUCUGCUUCCUUUUCUCCAUUUGGAACAUGGACCUCUGUUUCUGCCAAAGAUUCACUUGUUGGUACUGCAGUGGGGCCAUCAUUCAGCACUUGUAUUUUGUCCAAGUCACCACAACUAUUUGCUUCUCCAACAACUUGUUGGUUAUUUUUGUCCGAGACCUCAGAUUCCAUGCCGGUACUAUCUAAUACAUGCUCGUUGCUUGUCAUCAUAUGUUCUUCUGACACUUUCAUGACCGGUGAAUCCUGUUGCUUGCAAUUGCUAACUACAGGAAUAUGCCCAAUGACAUCUUUGUUAACAUCCAAAUCUUCGUCUGUUAAGUUUAAGCUCCUUCUUUCCUGUUCAAAAAGAGUUUUUCAGAUAAAUUUUAAGAAGGGAGCAAACAAUAACAGAAACAUUUGAAAAAUUUGCUUCGGAUCAGAUUACUUGCCUGAUUAGAUGCUACUGUUACUGCAGUUGUCAUUUGAACAGCCUUGAAACCUUCUUCCUCCUCUGUUUCUCUUUUAGCAUCAACACUUUCCAUCUCUUUGGGCACCUGUAGAUCCCCAUAAAUGGUGAAUCACUGAUGUCAAACUUUGUAUAAAACAUUGAUUUUCAAAUCAAAUUACUACAAUUACUCACAGUGUACGUCAACUUUGUUAUUCCAAAACUUGUUUACUAUAGAAUAUAAUAGAUCUGUGUUUCAACAUUGCGUAAACUAAUUUUGUGAUAACGGAUUACUUAAGUUCAGAUGAUAAAUAUAAUUAUCAGUUUCAAUAUAACAAUUUGUUCUGGGACAAAAUGCACACAUAAACAAAUUGUGUAUGAGUAUAUAUACUGACCUCAUCCUUAGGAGUUUCAUUUUCAAAGACUGUUGGAUCAAUUGUUUUGUCCUCUUCAUUGUCAUUGAUGCGUGCUCCAGGACUUGCACAUAGGAUUUGUUCUUCUUGAGAAUUUGUUUCUCUAACUUCACUUAAACAAGGUUCUUCUCUAUCCUCAGAUGCUAUUUGUGGUAACUCAAUGGACACAUCUUCCUUUAUCAAUGUAGCUUCGGUGUUCUGCUCAUUUGGUGAGGCACCUUCCUGUGGAACACUUUUUGCAAUAUCCUACAAUAUGAAUAGAAAGAGAUUACGAAUCGUGUAAAGUUUGAAGAAUGAGUUUUGUUUUUCAUAUUCUUUAAGCUUGCUAUUACUUUCAUCUACAUGAUAGAAUAAACUUCAAGUAGUAGAGUCCAACUAAAAUUACCUGAGCCUCUUGAAUUUCCUCGCCUAUUGCAUCAUCAAUCUUUUCUGUUAUUUUGUUACUUGAGGUAUCUUCUGGAUCUAGGAUUUGCUCCACAGUGGAACUUCUUUCUGUGUCUUGACAUGGAGCAAAUGCCUUGAUAUCCUCAGCUGCUACUUGAAAGGAGUCAAUAGGAUCCUCAACCUCUGCUACUUCCUCAACCAACGUGCUUUCUGUGAUGUCAUCUUCUCGAUCAUCUGAUAAUGAUGUGCUUUCGCUAACCUUUACCAAAUGUUCUUCCUGUUCCAGUAGUAAUCCAUCUACUUGGUUUCGGGAAUCUUCUGUAGUGUCCUCAUCUGGAGUGGCUGCAAAGUUCUGCAUCCAAGUACAAAACAUUUGUUCAAUAUGUUUAUCUUGCAGAGAUAAAUUCUUGUUAACUUUUUUCCAGCAUAACAUAGCAAUUGAUUUUUCCAAAAUUUGUCCACUAAUUUUUUGAUAAUAAAGUCAGCUUACUACUAUGAUUCUCACCUUAUCCUCAAGAGUUUCUUUCUUGAGAUCAGUUGAAUCAAGUGUUUUUGUACAUUUUUCGUCAUAUAUGGUUUCAUGAGAAUCUGUAGUCGGGGCUUGCUCUUCUAAAUGGCUUGCUUCUCUAUCUUGACCUGAAGAAGUAUCUUUAAUAUCCUCAUCUGCUGCCUGCAAUGACUCAAUAUGUACUUCUUCCUUUACCGGAGCACAUUCUAUUUUUUCCUCAUCUUCAUGCAAGUUGGCUUUUACAGUGUUUUCAUAUGCAAAUUUGGCCUCAUGGGUAGUAGUUGGUUUAUCGUCGUUGAACUUUUCUGCUGGAACUUCUUCAGAAGAAGAUUCUUGUAAGCCAUCCACUUGAAUUGGUGACUUAUCCUCGCUGUCUUCAUUUGGAACGCUUAUUACGGCAUCCUGCAAUGAUAAUAACUUAAGAACGUGAUUGAGCUAAAAGAAGAAAUAUAUUAUUGAGUUCUCUUUUCAUUAAGAACACAUAGGUGUUAAUUAUCCUUGUUUGUCUUUAAACUACUUAACAACAAUUGAUAGUGCCCUUUCUACUUCUUCUUCAGGACUUACAUUGUUUUUGUUAGCAGCAUCAACUGUUUUUUUCUGUGUUUCAUCACAUGUCUCUUGUGGAUCAGCAGUUAGGAUUUGCACCUCAGUAGGCAUUUCCACUUUUUCUUCUUCUUUGACUGGACCACUUUCAGUGGACGACACCAUUGGAGCUUCCGAAGAAGGUAUGUUUUCACUCUCAUUCAUGUGCUCUUCUUUGUCCUCAUAUGGAGUAGUAUUAUUUGCAAUAUUCUGCUGCAAGUCCAGAUCAUUUGUUAAAUCUAUUCCAUAUAUGGAAUCAUAUUGGUAACAGCUUGUUUCUUGGGGAUGAUUGAAACAAGAGUAUGUUACUAUUGUAUCAAUUCUAUAAUGAUGAUAAAACAAGAACAUGAAAGAAAAUGCAAAUUAGUUUUUCUUUUGCCUAGUAGAAGAAAUAGAGAAGGCUUACGCUAAACUGCUGCUAACCAACCUAAAUAUGCUAAUGCAUAGAGUUAUGUUCGCAUCAAGGAAAUUUAGUAAUUCAUGCAAAACUAGGCGUGUCAUGAUCAAGAUAAUUAAUAAGUUUGAUUCUCACCUCCAAACCAGUUUCACUAUCAGCUAUCUUCUCUUUGUUAUCAUCUCUGAUUCCUUCAGGAUUUGCAAUGGGACUUUGCUCAUCUGGAGAACUUAUUUCUCUCUCUCGACUUAAAUGGGGUGUCUCAAUCUCCUGAGCUGCCUCUUGCAAUGACUCGGGGGAUGCUUCUUCUUCGAUCAAACUGCCUUGAGUGAUUUUUGUUGACUCCUCAAUGUUGGCAUUCCCAGCCGAAGCUUCGUUCAAUGGCUUUUGUGAGCCAACUUCUUCAAUCGGCAUGUCAUCUUCCUUGCCACCCAAAAUAUCUAUUCCAAUAUCCUGCUGCAAGAAUAAACAUCAUAAAAGUUCUUAUUCGCCAAAACUCUGGAGAAGGAUACAGUUCACCAUCUUCUUUUAGAGUGUGUUCUCUUUGGUUGAUAAAUUAAUCUUGGAGUGAAAAAGAAGGAAUAAGAAAUGGUGAAAUUCAUUUUUGUAGAAAAUGAAGAAAAAGAAAAGAGGCAUUUGAAGGGAGAAAUUUUUGUUAUCCCUUAUUUUCCCAUGAUAAAUUUAUCAAUCAAAGAGAACACACCCUAAGGGUCAAGUUCAGCCUUUUAUUGUUUACUUGCAUAUCAUAUAACCAACUAAAAUAUCAUAAUCCGUUGUUAUGUUUGCAUCAGGAGAAUUUAGUUUGAUUCUCACCUUAUCCGUGGGAGUUUGAUCCUCCUCCCCUGUUGCAUUAUCAGGUAUCUCCUCUUUGUUGUCAUGCAUGAUUGCUUCAGGAUUUGUAGCGGGGCUUUCCUCAUCAACAGAACUUGCUUCCCUGUCUCGACUUAAAGGAGGCGUUUCAAUAUCCUGAGCUGCUACUUGCAAUGACUUGAGGGGUUCCUCUUUAAUGGUCAAACAGCCUUCACUAACUUUUGGUGACUCCUUAUCAUUGGCACUCUCAGCUGAAGCUUCGAUCAAUGGAUUUUGUGAGCCAACUUCUUCAAUUGCCAUGCUAUCUUCCUUGUCACAAUCUGGAAUAUCUUUUGCGACAUCCUGUGGUAAAAAUAAAAAUCAUAAAAGUUGUAUCCACCAAAGAUCUGAAGAAGGAUGCUUUGACUCUUUUCGUUUGGGAUCAUGCCUAGCCAUUUAUUGUUUACUAGUGUGUCAAAUAAGUUAAUGUUGAUAAGUUAAGUCAUUAUUCACCUCUGUCUCAACACUUUCCUCAUUAGUUUGAGCCGCGUCAACAGAUUCUCUCUCUGCCUUGUCAGUUGAAAUUUCUUGUGGAUCUGUAUUUGAGGGUUCUUCCUCGAUGGAUUUGCUUAUGUCUGGACUUGAAUCAUGUUGUAUAAUAUCCUCAGGCUUCACUUGCAAGGAGUCAAUAUGUUUCUGUACAUCUGUUUCACACAUACUUUCUGCAUUCGCCCCAUUUUCCAAUUCAGGUGUUAUUGACUCUUCGCCCCUAUUUUUAGGUUCAUCGUUAUUUCCUGAUUCCCUGGCACCGGUUUCCUCUGGAGCUUCUAUCAAAGAGUUUUGAUUGUCUUCUUCCAAACGUUCCUCAUCUUCCUGUGGAACACGUUUUGCAAUAUCCUACAAUAUGAAUACAAAGAGAUUACGAAUUGUGUAAAGUUUGGAGAAUGAGUUUUUGUUUUUCAUAUUCUUUAAGCUUGCUAUUACUUUCAUCUACAUGAUAAAAUAAACUUCAAGUAGUAGAGUUCAACUGAAAUUACCUGAGCCUCUUGAGUUUCCUCGCCUAUUGCAUCAACAAUCUUUUCUGUUAUUUUGUUACUUGAGCUAUCUUCUGGAUGUAGGAUUUGCUCCACAGUGGAACUUCUUUCAGUGUCUUGACAUGGAGCAAAUGCCUUGAUAUCCUCAGCUGCUACUUGAGAGGAGUCAAUAGGAUCCUCAACCUCUGCUACUUCCUCAAGCAACGUGCUUUCUGUGAUGUCAUCUUUUGGAGCAUCUGAUAAUGAUGUGCUUUCACUAACCUCUACCGAAUGUUCAUCCUGUUCCAGUAGUAAGCCAUCUACUUGGUUUUGUGAAUCUUCUUUAGUGUCCUCAUCUGGAGUUGCUGCAAAGUUCUGCAUCCAAGUAUAAAACAUUUGUUCAAUAUGUUUAUCUUGCAGAUAUAAAUACUUGUUAACUUUUUUCCAGCAUAACAUAGCAAUUGAUUUUUCAAAAAUUUGUCCACUAAAUUUGUGAUAAUAAAGUCAGCUUACUACUAUGAUUCUCACCUUAUCCUCAAGAGUUUCUUUCUUGAGAUCAGUUGAAUCAAGUGUUUUUGUAUAUUUUUCGUCAUACAUGGUUUCAUGAGAAUCUGUAGUCGGGGCUUGCUCUUCUAAAUGGCUUGCUUCUCUAUCUUGACCUGAAGAAGUAUCUUUAAUAUCCUCAUCUGCUGCCUGCAAUGACUCAAUAUGUACUUCUUCCUUUACCGGAGCACAUUCUAUUUUUUGCUCAUCUUCAUGCAAGUUGGCUUUUACAGUGUUUUCAUAUGCAAAUUUGGCCUCAUGGGUUGUAGUUGGUUUGUCAUCAUUGAUCUUUUCUGCUGGAGCUUCUUCGGAAGAAGGUUCUUGCAAGCCAUCCACUUGAAUUGGUGACUUAUCCUCGCUAUCUCCAUUUGGAACGCUUGUUACAGCAUCCUGUAAUGAUAAUAACUUAAGAAUUUUACAACACCCGAAGGGGACGUUUACUUUGCAUGAUUGAUAAGAUGCAUGAUUGAGUAUUUUUAUCCUCAAGAGUAGGAUUUCUCCAAUCCCACCCUUAUAAUGGGAAAUUUAUCAAGCAAAAUUAGCUCAAAUGAUGAAAAUAAUCAAGAGCCUUGGGAGUUUCAAUCCAUCAAAGUAAACAAGGUUACUAUUUUUAUCUAUCAAGGCUAAUCCUCCAAAGUAAAUGCCCCCCUAAGGGUAUUGUUUACUUGCAUGUCAUAUAACCAACUCAAAUAUCCUAAUCAGUAGUUAUGUUUGCAUCAGUAGAAUUUAGUUUGAUUCUCACCUUAUCCGUGGGAGUUUGAUCCUCCUCCCCUGUUGCAUUAUCAGGUAGCUCCUCUUUGUUAUCAUGGAUGAUUGCUUCCUCAUCAACAGAACUUGUUUCCCUGUCUCCACUUAAACGACGUGUUUCAAUAUCCUGAGUUGCUACUUGCAAUGACUUGAGGGGUUCUUCUUUCAUGAUCAAACCGCCUUCACUAACUUUUGGUGACUCCUUAUCAUUGGCACUCUCAGCUGAAGCUUCGAUCGACGGAUUUUCUUCUUCAAUUGCCAUGCUAUCUUCCUUGUUGCAAUCUGGAAUAUCUUUUGCAACAUCCUGUGGUAAAAAUAAAAAUUAUAAAAGUUGUAUUCACCAAAAAUCUGAAGAAGGAUAUUGCUUUGACUCUUUUCGUUUGGGAUCAUGCCUAGCCAUUUAUUGUUUACUAGCGUGGCAAACAAGUUAAUGCUGAUAAGUUAAGUACAUUAUUCACCUCUGUCGCAACACUUUCCUCAUUUGUGUGAGCCGCGUCAACAGAUCCUCUCUCUGCCUUGUCAGUUGAAAUUUCUCGUGGAUCUGUAUUUGAGGGUUCUUCCUCGAUGGGUUUGUUUAUGUCUGGACUUGAAUCAUGCUGUUUAAUAUCCUCAGGCUUGACUUCCAAGGACUCAAUAUGUUUCUCCACAUCUGUUUCAUACCUACUUUCUGUGUUCUCCCCAACUUCCAAUUCAGGUGUUAUUGACUCUUCGCCCCUAUUUUUAGGUUCAUCGACAUUUCCUGAUUCCCUGGCCUCGGUUUCCUCUGGAGCUUCUAUCGAAGAAUUUUGAUUGUCUUCUUCCAAACGUUCCUCAUCUUCCCUCGCUGAGCAAUUCACUUGGGUUACCGAGCUCUCUUCAAUGUGCUCAUGUGGAGUUUCUGUUGCAACAUUCUGCAGCCAGAUAUUAGAUAUAAACUGAUAAGCUAUAAGCUACAGGUAACUUAUUUCAUUUGUUUACUUUCUUCUUUCACACAAGCAACAUUAUUCAAAAAUGUAUAAUCUUGUAAAGAAAAUAUACAUUCUACUUGUGAUGCUUAGUCUUACCUCAACCUCAGGAACGAGAUCCUUCUUGUCUGCUGCACCAGUGAUUUUGUUGCUUGUAAUUGUUUGGGAGUUGUCUUCUAAGCUUCGCUCCUCAACUGAACAAGUUGUUUCUAUAUCUGCAGUUGAAGUAGAUGUUUCAUGAUCCUCAGGCUGCAAAUCCUCUUUCUCUGGUGUAGUACAGUCUGUACUCUUUUCAUCGUUGGGCAAUUCAACUUUGCUUGGGUAUUCAUCGCUAGUUUUUGGUUCAAGCAGAACUGAAUCUUUAUCACUGGCCUCGUCUUUUGACUUUUCAGUUAGUGAUGGUCUUUCCGGUUCCUCUUCCA
rnacentral:lncRNA from 1 species